UCAGCCGCCCGUACGGGGCUGACUGUUGGAGACGCGAGUUUCCAGCGUCUCCAUUCCAUGUUGCUUUACGGAGGAUAUGGCUAUGAGAA
rnacentral:sRNA from 1 species